UUAGGACCACUGCCGCCGACCGCGGCGCGCG
rnacentral:sRNA from 1 species